GUGUGUGUUUGCAGCAGAUGUGAGCGUGGAGCGAGUGCAGCAGCAUUUCAAUUCACGUUUCCCGAGAAUGCAGCGAUGUUGAUCCUGAAGGUAAAGCCUGACGUUUUGUGCUAACACUAGCAGCUACUUUUCAGAAUACCAUCAAACUUGUGAAGAAAUAGAGCUCCAAAGUAUGAUGCUGCCACCACCAUGCUUCAUUAUUGGCAUCCAUCCGGGACUACCUUUGAUGACACUGGAGCGUUGAUUGCUUCAAACACUCACAAUGACCAAUUGAACAACCUUCAGUAUGUUGAAACUCCGACAGGGAAUGACAACAGGGGACAACUGUGGCCCUCGGCUUUCUCUUGUUCUCAGGGGCAACAAUCAAAGCUGCAUUGCAUGCGAAGGACUCAAGAGUUAAUGUUUGGAGGAAAUUUGAGCAUUAUUAUCGCUGUUUGUUUUCUGCCAACUGAGGACGGCCCACUCCACAUGAUACCUUUUGUAGACUUGUGGAGCUGCCUUAUUUAGAGCCUCGUAUUUUCAUGAUGAGUCAUUAAACUUGCACAGGCGUGACAUGUCGCUAAAUGUUGCCGAUCCGUCGUUCGGCAGCUGCGUGGGGAUUCGUCCGUCAUCAUCAGUCCGUCAUUAUUUCAAUCCGAACCAAACUGUAAUCGUCAUUCCGACCAGUCCUUCAAUCGUAGGUGUGUCAAAAAGAAAACAAAAAAAAAACAGUCCACCAGAUGAAAAAAUCACAUUUGAUGAAAAUAGUGGCCUGGUGAUCCAGUGGUUAGCGCGUCAACCUCACAAUGCAGAGCUACCCGGCUCAAUUCCAGCUCCAGCCUCCUUGUGUGGAGUUUGCAUGUUCUCCCGGGACCGUGUGGGUUUUCUCCGGGUACUUCGGUUUCCUCCCACAUUCCAAAAACAUGCAUGGCAGGUUGAUUGAACACUCUAAAUUGUCCCUAGGUGUGAGUGUGAGCGUGGAUGGUUGUUCGUCUCUGUGUGCCCUGCGAUUGGCUGGCAACCGAUUCAGGGUGUCCCCCGCCUACUGCCCGAAGACAGCUGGGAUAGGCUCCAGCACCCCCCGCGACCCUAGUGAGGAUCAAGCGGCUCGGAAGAUGAAUGAA